GGCCCCAUCGUCUAGAGGCCCAGGACCCGGGCUUUUCAAGCCCGUUACAUGGGUUCGAAUCCCAUUGGGGCCG
rnacentral:tRNA from 1 species